rnacentral:rRNA from 1 species
AGAUUGAACGCUGGCGGCGUGCCUAACACAUGCAAGUCGAGCGGUAACAGGUGUAGCAAUACAUGCUGACGAGCGGCGAACGGGUGAGUAAUGCUUCGGAAUCUACCCAAUGGCGGGGAAUAACUAGCCGAAAGGUUAGCUAAUACCGCAUAAGCCCUACGGGGGAAAGCAGGGGAUCGUAAGACCUUGCACCGAUGGAUGAGCCGAAGUCGGAUUAGCUAGUUGGUAGGGUAACGGCCUACCAAGGCGACGAUCCGUAGCUGGUCUGAGAGGACGACCAGCCACACUGGGACUGAGACACGGCCCAGACUCCUACGGGAGGCAGCAGUGGGGAAUAUUGGACAAUGGGCGCAAGCCUGAUCCAGCCAUGCCGCGUGAGUGAUGAAGGCCCUAGGGUUGUAAAGCUCUUUUGUGCGGGAAGAUAAUGACGGUACCGCAAGAAUAAGCCCGGCUAACUUCGUGCCAGCAGCCGC